rnacentral:rRNA from 1 species
GACGAACGCUGGCGGCGUGCUUAACACAUGCAAGUCGAACGGUGAAGCUCCAGCUUGCUGGAGUGGAUCAGUGGCGAACGGGUGAGUAACACGUGAGCAACCUGCCCCUGACUCUGGAAUAAGCGCUGGAAACGGCGUCUAAUACUGGAUACGAGAAGGGCCCGCAUGGGCACUUUCUGGAAAGUUUUUCGGUUGGGGAUGGGCUCGCGGCCUAUCAGCUUGUUGGUGAGGUAAUGGCUCACCAAGGCGACGACGGGUAGCCGGCCUGCGAGGGCGACCGGCCACACUGGGACUGAGACACGGCCCAGACUCCUACGGGAGGAAGCAGUGGGGAAUAUUGCACAAUGGGCGAAAGCCUGAUGCAGCGACGCCGCGUGAGGGAUGACGGCCUUCGGGUUGUAAACCUCUUUCAGCAGGGAAGAAGCGAAAGUGACGGUACCUGCAGAAGAAGCACCGGCUAACUACGUG